UAGAGGGAUCAGUCAUUAGCUUGCCUGGGACUGUCCCAGUGUUAGCACUGGAAAUCACACAUCUGGGAAAUGCCUUUGUCCUGGGCAAACCAGGACAGUUGAUCACUCUAGAAGCUG
rnacentral:miRNA from 1 species